UGGAGAAUAAGACUGGCUGAUGA
rnacentral:piRNA from 1 species